UCCCUGGUAGCUCAGAUGGUAAAGAAUCUGCUUGUAAUGCAGAAGACCCAGGUUCAAUCCCUGGCUGGGGAC
rnacentral:tRNA from 1 species